rnacentral:rRNA from 1 species
GGGGGAUGCCUUGGCUCUCAGUGGCGAUGAAGGACGUGGUAAGCUGCGAAAAUUUACGGGGAGGUGCACACAACUAGUGAUCCGUAAGUAUCCGAAUGGGGCAACCCGGCAUGUUGAAGACAUGUCAUCGAAAGAAGCUAACCCGGGGAACUGAAACAUCUAAGUACCCGGAGGAAAAGAAAUCAACCGAGAUUCCCUAAGUAGCGGCGAGCGAACGGGGACCAGCCGAAUCAGUGUGGUGUAGUGGAAGGCUCUGGAAAGUGCCGGCACAGAGGGUGAUACCCCCGUACGCGAAACACCGCAUUGGACACAUUAAGUAGGGCGGGGCACGUGAAACCUUGUCUGAACAUGGGGGGACCAUCCUCCAAGGCUAAAUACUCGUUGUCGACCGAUAGUGAACCAGUACCGUGAGGGAAAGGCGAAAAGAACCCCGGCGAGGGGAGUGAAAUAGAACCUGAAACCGGAUGCGUACAAGCAGUAGGAGCCCUUCGGGGUGACUGCGUACCUUUUGUAUAAUGGGUCAGCGAGUUACGUUUCUGUGGCGAGCUUAACCGUCUAGGGAAGGCGUAGGGAAACCGAGUCUGAAUAGGGCGCAUAGUCGCAGGAAGUAGACCCGAAACCUGUCGAUCUACCCAUGGCCAGGGUGAAGGUGAGGUAAUACUUACUGGAGGCCCGAACCCACUAAUGUUGAAAAAUUAGGGGAUGAGCUGUGGGUCGGAGUGAAAGGCUAAUCAAGACAGGAGAUAGCUGGUUCUCCUCGAAAGCUAUUGAGGUAGCGCCUCGUGUCUCACUCCAGGGGGUAGAGCACUGUUUCGGCUAGGGGGCUCACAAGAGUUUACCAAACCGAUGCAAACUCCGAAUACCUGGAAGUGCAAUCACGGGAGACACACGGCGGGUGCUAACGUCCGUCGUGGAGAGGGAAACAACCCAGACCGCCAGCUAAGGCCCCAAAAUCAUCGCUAAGUGGUAAACGAUGUGGGAAGGCACAAACAGCCAGGAGGUUGGCUUAGAAGCAGCCACCCUUUAAAGAAAGCGUAAUAGCUCACUGGUCGAGUCGGCCUGCGCGGAAGAUGUAACGGGGCUAAGCAAUAUACCGAAGCUGCGGCAGCACGUAUGUGCUGGGUAGGGGAGCGUUGUGUAAGUGGAUGAAGGUGAAUCGAGAGG